CACAUCAAAGUCUUAUUAACACACUACAUGAAUGAUUUUCUAAACUAGUUUUGUUUUGGUGUUGUAGUCAAAUAUCUAAACAUUCUUCAUUCAGAGGCUGUCGAUGACAUCAUCCUGCAGUCUGAGCGCGUGCAGAAGAAGCCCCUCCCACCGCGCGGCUGAUAAAAUACAGUAUCUUCGUCCGUCGGGAUGCAAACAGCCGCUGUGCAGAUGUUCAGACACCUGAGCGCUCAUCUGAAAAUCCUGCUAUUAACCCCUUCAACCCUCACCCCGCUCCAGCAGCGUCCGUCAAGGAUACACGUGUGAACACGCAACAGCGGCCUUGAACCCAUGACGUGUGUGUGUGUGUGUGUGUGUGUGUGCACCAGGUGUUUCUUAAUAAAUGCCGUGUUUACAUCCA
ensembl:lncRNA